UUUAUUGGAGAGUUUGAUCCUGGCUCAGGACGAACGCUGGCGGCAUGCCUAAUACAUGCAAGUCGAGCGGACUUGAUGAGAAGCUUGCUUCUCUGAUGGUUAGCGGCGGACGGGUGAGUAACACGUAGGCAACCUGCCCUCAAG
rnacentral:rRNA from 1 species